ensembl:lncRNA
GUUCCAGAGACCGAGGUGGUGCCCGAGUUGCUUCCAGAGACCGAGGCGGUGCCCGAUGCGCAGGCCGAGAUCGUUCCCGAGGCGGUGGCCGAUGCGCAGGCCGAGGUCGUUCCUGAGGUGGUGCCCGAUGCAGAGGCCGUUCCUGAGGCCGUUCCUGAGGCCGUUCCUGAGGCCGUUCCUGAGACCGUUCCCGAGGCGGUGUCCUGGUCCGAUGCCAUUCCAGAGGCGGUGGCCGAUGCUGUUCCGGAGGCCGAUGCGGGGCCCAAGAUGGCUCCGGAGGCGAUACCCGUGUCCAAGGCCGUUCCCGAGGCGGUGUCCUUGUCUGAGGUCGUUCCUGAUGCCGUUCCCAAUGCCGUGACCGGGCCAUCGCCACAGCCUGCUCCUUACUGGCUCCCCGAUUGGCAGGUUCCGUUCGGGCCACUCAAAUGGCGAAUUCCUCCCUGGCCGUCUGCACAACGAGAAUGGACUGAUCCACCGUGGCCACCUGAACUGCCUGGUCCCUCGUGGUCCCCUGAACUUUCGGGUCCACCGUGGCCACCUGAACUGCCUGGUCCCUCGUGGUCCCCUGAACUUUCGGGUCCACCGUGGCCACCUGAACUGCCUGGUCCCUCGUGGUCCCCUGAACUUUCGGGUCCACCGUGGCCCCCUGAACUGCCUGGUCCCUCGUGGUCCCCUGAACUUUCGGGUCCACCAUGGCCCCCUGAUCUGACCAAGCCACCUGGGCUACCAGGGGAGCCAUCGCUGCCGGUCCCAGUUCCCCUACACGGGCCUGGCCCGCCAUCCCUCCCCCUGUUCUGCCUCCACCAGUCCACCUCCCUCCUGGUCUCUUUGUUUUGUGUUUAUUUGGUU